rnacentral:rRNA from 1 species
ACGAACGCUGGCGGCGUGCUUAACACCUGCAAGUCGAACGGAAAGGCCCUGCUUUUGUUGGGUGCUCGAGUGGCGAACGGGUGAGUAACACGUUAGUAACCUGCCCUUUACUUUGGGAUAACUUCAGGAAACUGGGGCUAAUACCCGAUAGGAGCUCCUGCUGCAUGGUGGGGGUUGGAAAGUUUCGGCGGUUGGGGAUGGACUCGCGGCUUAUCAGCUUGUUGGUGGGGUAGUGGCUUACCAAGGCUUUGACGGGUAGCCGGCCUGAGAGGGUGACCGGCCACAUUGGGACUGAGAUACGGCCCAGACUCCUACGGGAGGCAGCAGUGGGGAAUAUUGCACAAUGGGCGGAAGCCUGAUGCAGCAACGCCGCGUGCGGGAUGACGGCCUUCGGGUUGUAAACCGCUUUCGCCUGUGACGAAGCGUGAGUGACGGUAAUGGGUAAAGAAGCACCGGCUAACUACGUG